AGAAAAGCAGGGGCCUGUUUCCUUCAUAAAUGGGCCUCUCGUAAACUUUAGGGAGAUCGUAUACAUUGUUAUUGGGUGAACCUUUUGGCUUUGUUUAUGACAAAAGGUUCAGUAAACAAUGGAACAUUG